CCGUUGUUCAUCGCCCACACGGAAAAGGACAUUUCCCAGUUUCCUCCUGGAGGCGUCUUUGUGCUGCCGCACUUUGUGCAGGCAGAUGGGAAGUCCCAGCCACAUCCUAUAAGUGUUUACCUACAAGGCACUGGCACAACAUGCAAAACCAACACCAAGCACCAAACGACUCUGGGAAACCUUCCCAGCCAACGCCUCCUUCGUCGUCCAUGUCUUUCUCCAAGUCGGAU